rnacentral:rRNA from 1 species
UACAGAGGGUGCAAGCGUUGUUCGGAAUUAUUGGGCGUAAAGGGCGCGUAGGCGGUGCGGUAAGUCACCUGUGAAAUCUCCGGGCUUAACUCGGAGCCUGCAGGCGAAACUACCGUGCUGGAGUAUGGGAGAGGUGCGUGGAAUUCCCGGUGUAGCGGUGAAAUGCGCAGAUAUCAGGAGGAACACCGGUGGCGAAGGCGGGACUCUGGGCCGAUACUGACGCUGAGGAGCGAAAGCGUGGGGAGCGAACAGG